AUUGAACGCUGGCGGCAGGCCUAACACAUGCAAGUCGAGCGGAGCGGCAGCGGGGGAAGUAAUGCUAAGGAAUCUGCAUGGUCGCGGGGGAUAACGUCCGGUAACGGGCGCUAAUACCGCAUACUAUCAGAUGAGCCUAGAUCGGAUUAGCUAGUUGGUGGGGUAAAGGCCAACCAAGGCGACGAUCCGUAGCUGGUCCGAGAGGAUGAUCAGUCACACUGGAACGGAGACACGGUCCAGACUCCUACGGGAGGCAGCAGUGGGGAAUAUUGGACAAUGGGCGAAAGCCUGAUCCAGCCAUGCCGCGUGUAUGAAGAAGGCCGUCGGAUUGUAAAGCACUUUAAGUUGGGAGGCGUUACCAACAGAAGAAGCACCGGCUAACUUCGUGCCAGCAGCCGCGGUAAUAC
rnacentral:rRNA from 1 species